UGAGCAAUCUGCCCUUCUCAUCGGAAUAAGCGUUGGAAACGACGUCUAAUGCCGAAUACGACCUCCUUUCGCAUGAUCGGAGGUGGAAAGCUCCGGCGGAGAAGGAUGAGCUCGCGGCCUAUCAGCUAGUUGGUGUGGGUAAUGGCCCACCAAGGCGACGACGGGUAGCCGGCCUGGAGGAGGGUGAUCGGCCACACGUGGGACUGAGACACGGCCCAGACUCCGUAGGAGG
rnacentral:rRNA from 1 species